rnacentral:rRNA from 1 species
UACGUAGGGUGCAGGCGUUAAUCGGAAUUACUGGGCGUAAAGCGUGCGCAGGCGGUUUGCUAAGACAGGUGUGAAAUCCCCGGGCUUAACCUGGGAACUGCGCUUGUUACUGGCAGGCUUGAGUGUGGCAGAGGGGGGUGGAAUUCCACGUGUAGCAGUGAAAUGCGUAGAAGAUGUGGAGGAACACCGAUGGCGAAGGCAGCCCCCUGGGCUAA